rnacentral:rRNA from 1 species
AGUGAACGCUGGCGGUAGGCCUAACACAUGCAAGUCGAACGGCAGCACAGGAGAGCUUGCUCUCUGGGUGGCGAGUGGCGGACAGGUGAGGAAUACAUCGGAAUCUACUCUGUCGUGGGGGAUAACGUAGGGAAACUUACGCUAAUACCGCAUACGACCUACGGGUGAAAGCAGGGGAUCUUCGGACCUUGCGCGAUUGAAUGAGCCGAUGUCGGAUUAGCUAGUUGGCGGGGUAAAGGCCCACCAAGGCGACGAUCCGUAGCUGGUCUGAGAGGAUGAUCAGCCACACUGGAACUGAGACACGGUCCAGACUCCUACGGGAGGCAGCAGUGGGGAAUAGUGGACAAUGGGCGCAAGCCUGAUCCAGCCAUACCGCGUGGGUGAAGAAGGCCUUCGGGUCGUAAAGCCCUUUUGUUGGGAAAGAAAUCCAGCUGGCUAAUACCCGGUUGGGAUGACGGUACCCAAAGAAUAAGCACCGGCUAACUUCGUGCCAGCCGCCGCCGUAA